UGAAUGAAACAUUUUCAAAGCAAACUUCCAGUGAGUCAAGCUGAAACUGUGAAACAAAGUUCCUUCCAGUUCUACGAAAUCUUGAACUUGUUGGAUGGAAACUUUAUUAAUUACACCCCUUUUCCGGGCUCAAGGUGAACAGGGCACCCAGAAGCUGAACGAGGCGGUGCAGAUUUAAACCCCGGGGGGCGGGGGGGAGGAGAGGGGAGGAUUAGGACGAGGUGAACACCACAUGUGGCUUUAAUAUCCAACAGCUGCUGGAGAUCAUAACCCCGCUGCUCUCUGUACCCCCCACCAGAAUCCUAUGCUUCAAAGAUUAUUAUAACGAAAGGGACUUCACUGCCAGCUUCGGGACACCAUGUAGCGCCUUCUGCCAGGCACCUCUCAGUGUCUUCUGCAGCCCUGCCUGGCCAGAGUUCUUAAUUCCUCAUCAAAGACUUAAGAGCAUAAGAAAACAGAGUUGGAGUAUCUGGAAACCUUCACUUUGAUGGGCCACACUCCUACUUGGAGCUAUAGCUGCCGGCCUGCGCCACAACCAC